UACGGAGUACACUUUUGUUAUGGAAAAAUUAUUUGUAUCCAGUUUUGAGAGAUUUAUCUCUCUGUUCUUUGAAAACUGAAUAUCGACAUUGAAAAAUUAAAUUAUUAAUAUUUCAAAGUUUAGAUCAACCUAUAGAAUAUAACAUCUAUAAUAAAAAAAAGACAAACAAUAGGUCAUACAAUAUAAAUUUAAAA
rnacentral:misc_RNA from 1 species